rnacentral:rRNA from 1 species
GAUCAUGGCUCAGAACGAACGCUGGCGGCAGGCCUAACACAUGCAAGUCGAACGCGUAGCAAUACGGAGUGGCAGACGGGUGAGUAACGCGUGGGAACAUGCCUUGGUUCGGAAUAACUCAGGGAAACUUGAGCUAAUACCGGAUAAGCCCGAGAGGGGAAAGAUUUAUCGCCGAAGGAUUGGCCCGCGUCCGAUUAGCUAGUUGGUGAGGUAAUGGCUCACCAAGGCGACGAUCGGUAGCUGGUCUGAGAGGAUGAUCAGCCACACUGGGACUGAGACACGGCCCAGACUCCUACGGGAGGCAGCAGUGGGGAAUAUUGGACAAUGGGCGCAAGCCUGAUCCAGCCAUGCCGCGUGAGUGAUGAAGGCCCUAGGGUUGUAAAGCUCUUUCGCCAGGGACGAUAAUGACGGUACCUGGAUAAGAAGCCCCGGCUAACUUCGUG